rnacentral:rRNA from 1 species
AAUCAACGCUGGCGGCGUGCCUCAGACAUGCAAGUCGAACGCGAAAGUUUCCUUCGGGGAACAAGUAGAGUGGCGCACGGGUGAGUAACACGUAGGUAAUCUACCUUUGGAUGGGGAAUAACAAUCGGAAACGAUUGCUAAUACCGCAUAAUGCAGCGGCACCUAAUGGUGACAGUUGUUAAAGCGGGGGAGUCGAAAGACCUCGCGUCUGAAGAGGAGCCUGCGGCGGAUUAGCUAGUUGGUAAGGUAACGGCUUACCAAGGCUACGAUCCGUAACCGGCCUGAGAGGGCGGUCGGUCACACUGACACUGACAUACGGGUCAGACUCCUACGGGAGGCAGCAGUCGGGAAUUUUGGGCAAUGGGCGAAAGCCUGACCCAGCAACGCCGCGUGAAGGAUGAAAUCCCUCGGGAUGUAAACUUCGCAAGAACGGGAAGAAUAAGCGAGAGUUAAUAUCUUUCGUGAUGACGGUACCGUUUGUAAGCUCCGGCUAACUCCGUGCCAG